rnacentral:tRNA from 1 species
AAAGAAAUAUUUAUAUAAAAGCUUCUAACUUUUAAUAAAGCAUUAAUUUGUUUAU